CAGAAUAGGCUCUUCUUUUUCUCAUUUGAAGUGUGUCUCAGGAAAGAAAGGCAGUAGCCAUUUAACUUCCAGGGAGGAAGUGAUUUGGGGAUAGCAGUUGUGUCCUCUGGAGACAGGCUGGCCAGUGCAUACUGCACAGAAAGAACAAAGCCUACAUGCAGGAGACCAACAAAGCCUCAACAGGCACAGAAGAGCCUGCAAGAAGAGAGCAUGUUUUCUUGGAAGCGUAGUUUGACCUUUGGGACCUAUGGAGGGAGAUCUGAUGAAGCAGAACACUGCAUCAGUGACAUCUUAGACUCACCUAUCCAGGAUCCUCAGGCUGCCCUUAAUCUAGGUGUUCAGAAUAAGGUAGUCGACUUAUUUGAAAUGAUUGAAAAAAUGCAGAGAAGUCGUUUGGAUGAGCAAAGAUGUUCACUUCCAGCUACACUGAAGAGAGAAGAGGAAUACAUCCCAUACCCCAGCAUCCAUGAGGUAUUACAGAGGGGCUGGCCAUACCCUCUAAUCAUUUUACCACAGUUUGGGGGUUACUGGAUUGAAGGGACAUCUCACAGCCUUCCCGUAUCAGGCCCUGAAUUUCAAGACUUGCCAUCUCCUUGCAGUGGCAAAGUGAGAUUGGAGUGCGAUCCAACAGCAAAGCUGUACCGCAAACACUUCCUGGGAAAGGAGCAUCAGAAUUUUUAUGCCAAUGAUUCAGCUUUGGGCUACUUGGUUCUUUCUGUGAAGUAUGAACAGGUUGAAGGGCAAGACAAUCUUCAUCUGUUGCUGAGAGCUCGAGCCUCUACCAAGCAUGAUCUCAUUCCCAUAUCCUGCCUGACAGAGUUUCCUAAUGCUGUCCAAAUGGCCAAGCUGCUCUGUGAAGAUGUGAAUGUUGACCGUUUCUUUCCUGUGCUGUAUCCUAAGGCUUCCCAACUCAUUGUUGCAUUUGAUGAACAUGUCAUCAGCAAUAACUUCAAGUUUGGUGUCAUCUACCAAAAAUUUGGGCAGACCACAGAGGAAGAAGUCUUCAGUAAUACAGAAGAGAGUUUAGGCUUCUUAGAGUUUUUAGAUCUCCUAGGCGAUAGGAUCCAGCUGCAGGAUUUUCGUGGAUUCCGAGGUGGACUGGAUGUUACAAGAGGCCAGACAGGAACAGAAUCUAUCUACACAAAUUUUCGGGGCAAAGAGAUCAUGUUUCAUGUCUCUACAAUGUUGCCUUUCACAGAGGGAGAUGCCCAGCAGCUCCAACGCAAGCGCCACAUCGGGAAUGAUAUUGUGGCCAUUGUCUUCCAAGAUGAAAAUACUCCUUUUGUGCCCGAUAUGAUUGCAUCAAAUUUUCUACAUGCUUACAUGGUGGUACAACUCCAUCACAAUGCCAGUGGAGAGACGCUGUACAAGGUUUCUGUGACUGCCCGCGAUGAUGUUCCCUUUUUUGGCCCCGCUCUUCCAAAUCCAGCAGUAUUCAAAAAGGGCACGGACUUCCGUGAAUUUCUUCUAGCAAAGCUUAUAAAUGCUGAGUAUAGCUGUUACCACGCUGAGAAAUUUGCCAAGUUGGAAGAGCGCACCCGCAGUGCACUUUUGGAGAGCCUAUAUGAAGAACUGCAGAUUCGUAGCCGCAGUAUGAUGGGCCUGGCCUUGGGGGAUGAGGACAAAAUAGAGAAUGGGGGUGGUGGCUUCUUUGAGAAUUUCAAGCGGGUGAUCCGAGGCCGUAGCCAGAGCCUGGACACUAUGGGGAUAGCCAUGAAGAAGCAGCAGCAGCCCCCAGCAACUCUACCCAGCCGCCCAGCUACUGCAGGCCUUGCCCUCAACCAAAGUGUCGCCGAGGGUCCCAAGGCUAUUGCUGCGUCCUUUGCCCUGCCUGGGAGAAGCCCAUCACGCAACCGAGGCAGCCGCUUCAAUGGGAGACGUAGUAGUGCCAUUGGCAUUGAGAACAUCCAAGAGGAGAAGAGCAAAGAUGUGGCUGAAAGGAUACAGAAGGUAUUGGAGAGUCCUGGACCCUUCUUUGAUCUCAAAUCAGAUGGUUCCUCCAGUCCUAGUUCACCAGAAUUCCCUAACAGGAAGAGCAACAGAGGUCUCUCCAAUCAGACAUCAGGAUAUUGUGUGAUGCAGCCCCUGUCCCGUUCUUCAUCUAAUGUGAGCAGCUGUUGUAGUGGAGUCAGAGAGAAUGAAACAUCAGAGGAGGAGGAGAAUGAAGCGGAGUUAAUGUGUUCUCUUGAAGGUCCCCAGAAGCAGGAUUCUCUGGUUCAGAAUGCAUGGUUAGAUGACAGUGUCUGUACACCCAGUAGUACCAGCUCACCAGUAACUCAGCUGCUCCCUUCUAGCAAUGCUGCAAGCUCCAUGGAAAAGGGGAAAAGCAGUAAAGUGGAUGCUCAACGUUACAGCCCAGUAUGUUUUAUACUUUUUUUUUUAAUGCAUGUAGGAAAAUCAGGUAGGGAGGUGAUUUGUGGGUUCUUCAUAUACAGGGAAUCAGGGCAAGGAGAAGAAGGUUAAAGAAACUGCCACUUCCUUGUUCCACAGGCCUCCAUUUUAUGCUGUGUGUGAUGCCAUCGCUGGAGGGGUAUCUCAGUGCAUGCUGGGUAAUUCACAGGAUCUGCUGCUGAAAUGAGAACUCACAGCAGUUCACUUUGGAAUUCAGAGGAAACAAUGGUGGAUUCCCAGAAACGCCUCACCUGGCCCUUCUGCUUCAUUGACAGCUGCACCACAGGCAGUCAGGAAUCAGAGUCCAAAUGUGGCAUUUUACUCAUCCAUAUGUAUCAUUCCAAUUCAGCAACCUCAGGAGAGCAGAACCAAUCUAAAUCUUAAAAAAAAAGAGGGAGGGCUCUCCCAUCUGCCAUAGCUUUAGAAGCAAACAAAAGAGGAGUGCUUUUUUCUCUGUUAUUACAGCUAAAAUUUAGAUAUCCAAGAUCCCACUUGGAAGGAUUUGGGUGCCCUACAGGGCCCUUUCAAGAAGGCUGUAUUUGUGUUCAUUCUUCAGCAUGAAGGCCUCAAAAGAGGAAUAUAUCUUAGUGCUCCCAGGAUUAUACCUGGUUCAUAAGCAAAACAUCAGAACUGCAUUAUGCAGCAUAGGCAGGACACAUAGUGCCAAAGAGCAUGUGUGUGUGUGUGUGUGACAAAGAGCAUUUGUUUCAUUAUUCAUCAGAUUCCUCAGAUCUGUUAAAUAUUUCACUGUACCACUGCCACCUUCUUCCCUGAGUCUUUGUGCCAUCAAGAACCAAAACCUGUAAAUGUGAAUCUAUGACUCCUUGUCCAAUGCUUGUUAUGUCUGUGGUGUGUCUUGGGCUUGCAAUAAAAGACUACUGUGACCAA